rnacentral:tRNA from 1 species
GCAUUCGUGUUGUAGUGGUAAACAACCUGGGCUCGUAUUCCAGAGAUCCGUGGUUCGAGUCCCGGAGAGGGCA